rnacentral:rRNA from 1 species
GACAGAGGAUGCAAGCGUUAUCCGGAAUGAUUGGGCGUAAAGCGUCUGUAGGUGGCUUACGUUACGUCCGCUCAUCCAAUGCCAGGUCAACCCUGGACAGGCGGUGGAAACUACCAAGCUGGAGUACGGUAGGGGCAGGAGGGAAUUUCCGGUGGAGCGGUGAAAUGCGUAGAGAUCGGAAAGAACACCAACGGCGAAAGCACUCUGCUGGGCCGACACUGACACUGAGAGACGAAAGCUAGGGGAGCGAAUGGG